rnacentral:rRNA from 1 species
GGGACACGUGGUAUCCUGUCUGAAUAUGGGGGGACCAUCCUCCAAGGCUAAAUACUCCUGACUGACCGAUAGUGAACCAGUACCGUGAGGGAAAGGCGAAAAGAACCCCGGCGAGGGGAGUGAAAAAGAACCUGAAACCGUGUACGUACAAGCAGUGGGAGCACCUUCGGGUGUGACUGCGUACCUUUUGUAUAAUGGGUCAGCGACUUAUAUUCUGUAGCAAGGUUAACCGUAUAGGGGAGCCGCAGGGAAACCGAGUCUUAACUGGGCGUUAAGUUGCAGGGUAUAGACCCGAAACCCGGUGAUCUAGCCAUGGGCAGGUUGAAGGUUGGGUAACACUAACUGGAGGACCGAACCGACUAAUGUUGAAAAAUUAGCGGAUGACUUGUGGCUGGGGGUGAAAGGCCAAUCAAACCGGGAGAUAGCUGGUUCUCCCCGAAAGCUAUUUAGGUAGCGCCUCGUGAAUUCAUCUUCGGGGGUAGAGCACUGUUUCGGCUAGGGGGUCAUCCCGACUUACCAACCCGAUGCAAACUACGAAUACCGAAGAAUGUUAUCACGGGAGACACACGGCGGGUGCUAACGUCCGUCGUGAAG